rnacentral:lncRNA from 1 species
GUCGAACCCAACACCAAAUCGUUAUCUACACCCUCGACAUUGGCCACGAAUGAGGAAAUGUACGGAUCCGCGUAUAUCCGGUCGGGUAUAUGGUUUUGUAGUGGGAAAUCGUCUCCGGUCGGGUUCACGAUGUGGUGGUACGUGUGUAGUCGGUUAUGCAUGAAACAACCUCCCAAGCCCGUAAACCAGCAGACAUUCCACCACAACCAAGGCCGCCCCGAGGUUCCUACCCAUAAGUAGGGUGGGCCGGGCCCAUCCUUGGUGGUUACGCUAGGCUUGGAACGACUGCAGAAGGCAUAGGGAAGUCUACACUUGAAACAACAAAUAAGGGUGGAAGUCCCACAUCGGUUUUCAAGUAAAGAGAACCCACUUUAGGCCAUAAAUAUGGCCCAGCCACCAACUUGUCAGGUAUCAUUAACUACCCUAGUAAUUAUAUUCUACCAGCAUAUACUGACUUAGCCAUCAGAGGAGGAAAGACCGAAAGCCCCCGAUCGUCCUUUUGUUUACAUGUCAGCGGGAAGAUCGCAAAUCACCUACCAGACACGCCAUCAGCUUCUGCAACCCUAUCCGGGAUUGUACAGAAACAUUUGGCACCGUCUGUGGGAACCUUUACAAAAAGCCAGCGUGACUCGAUGACUGAGUUAACCGAACAACAAGAGCAGGAUGCAAGACAGGAAGAGCAGAGGGAGGUGAUAUACGAAAGGACCACCGAGACAGCAGGGGAAAGUUCAAGAAUCACGGGAAGAGCUCCGCACAAUAAAACACCAGAGUAUGUGCCGUGAGAUCUCAAUCCCCAAGAGGUAGCCGAGAUGUUGGAAGAUAUGAGGGCCCAAAUCACUUGACUAGAGCGACAAAGUGUAAGGGAUUGAGAGGAAGCCUCCGGGAGGGAGCACAUGUUAGAAAAGGAUAACGCCACGCUCAUGAGUGCGCUAGCCCGAGGGGUUGAGCACCGGGAGGCGUUGGAUCGAGGAACGGAGUUGGAUCGGGCGGCCACAUCUCAGCAGAUGGGCGCUCCGGUGGGAACAAACCGUAGGAUCAUGCAUAUCGGGACGAAUUUGUUCCCGGAUUAAAUGCGGGAUGAAGGACCGCUACCUUUACCCGAGCCAAUCCCAGAAGUCCAAGUCAGAAGCCCGGGAGAGAUGGAAGAAACCCUAAGAGCUAUCUGGGAUAACAUGGCGAGUUUGGCAGACGGUCUCGGAUGCCGAGAGAAGGGGGACAUGUAAUCCGUCUCGCGCGAGUUUCGAAGAAAGGGGGGACCGUUCACAAGAGCGAUCACCUAGUUCGUCCGAUCGAACACAGCCAAGCUAUUGAAGCUUAGCUACAACGGGGAUCGGGACCCCCAUCUUUUCCUUGAUAACAUCAAGUCUCACACGAACGCUAAAGGAUACUCGAAUGCAAUAUGCUGCAACAUGUUUCAAGAAACCUUAGUAGGGGAAGCGCUCAGUUGGUUAUACGAGCUCCCGUCAAACUCGAUCGAUUGCUUCCGGGAAUUAGUGGACAUGUUUGUCAAUAGGUUCCUCCUACGGACGGACGGGCAUAACACCGCCCAAUUGUUCAAAGUGCAGCAAGAUAGGGGAAAGGGGUUGAAAGCUUUUGUGAACCGUUGGCAAGGAGCCACAACAAGAGUCAGAACUUUGACAAAAAGGUUGCAGAUGAGGCGUUCAUUCAAGAGUUGCUUCCCGGGAAGUUCAUGUAUGCAGUAAAAAUCGAAAAUCCGCAAGGCUACGACGAGCUUAUGGAAAUGGCGAUCCAGCAUGCCCAGGCAUAUCAUGAUACUUACGGGGGGACCUCGGCCGGGAAUAGGAAGCUCGAAAGGAGAGAAGGAGUCGGUGCACGUGGUCCAGGAGGUAAGGGCCUGGACGGGAGAGCAAAAGUCGAACUCGUACUCUUCUGGAAACAGGCACGAGAGGAACAGGAGGAAGGCAGGGAAGCAGUAUAAUGCACAAGGGAAUGCAAAGGGCCCUUACUGGGUAUACAAGGACGGCGCCGACAGUGAAAGAGCAGUUCUCAGCGCUUAACGCCACUUACGAGGCAAUAUGGAAUGAGAAUAAGUCUGUCAUUCCAUCUCCCCCUGCCAAGAAGUUCCCCGAGUCCUCGAGGCUCACCAAAGAAGACACAGAAAAAUUUUGUGGGUACCACGGGGAGACAAGUCACCAAAUAAAUAACUACAUAGAGCUAAAGAGGGCGGUUGAGGGCCGACUGAAAGAAAGAAAAUUGCAGCAGUAUGUGCCCAGUCAGAGGCACGUAGGGGCAAUCGAAGUGUAUGGGAUGAUCAACACCAUCCUUAGCGGGUCCCGAAUAGAUAAUAGGAGCAAUAAGACAAAAAAACAGUGUACGGGAAGAAAGGAUGGCCGAGAGGUUUUCGUCUUUAGAAGUAGCAAUAAUCAGCGAGUAACCACUGGUUGGAAAUCUGUUACCUUCCUAAAAGAGGAAGAGGAAGGGAUAAAGCCGCACGAGGACCCGUUCCUGAUAACGUUACAACUCGAUCACUAUAUCACGAAGAAUAUCCUGGUUGACACGGGAGCUUCCAUAUGUCAACGUGCUAUUUAGGAGUGCCUAGAAAAGAUUGCACCGAGGGAGUAACAAGUUGAUAUAAGACCAUGAGCCAUUAAUCAGUUUCUCGGGUGAUGUCAUUCAGCUCCUCGGAUCGGAUAGUUUUGGGGUAAGCAUGGAAGGCCGAGAGGAAGUCUCCCGGGCAACAGUGGAAUUCAUUGUAGUGGACUGUGAGUCGUCCUACAACGGGAUCUUGGGAAGGCCUGCCUUAUAGAAGCUAAAGUCGUUUGUCGCCGACCACAUGUUGAUGAUGAAAGUCCCAACCCCAACGCGAGUCAUUACUAUCCGGGGAGAUCAGGGUGCGGCAAGGAGUUGCAGUGCAAUAGACAACAAGAGGAAAAGGUCGGAGGUCCUGUCAGCAAGCCAGGCUGUGAUCCCCCCCCCCCCCCCCCCCCUCCGGAUCCAUAUGUGGAUCCCAGAGACGAUACUGACUCGGAUGAGGAGCGUCCUGGAUCUGCAAGAGAAACAAAAGUAGUGUCGGUCUCAGAUGAGUUCCCAUAUCGGCAAGUAACCAUAGGGACAGGACAGACACCUGGUGUACGAACGACACUAAUGGAAUUUUUGAAGAGAAACAGUGGGGCGUUUGCUUGGACAUACAAGGAUAUGCCCGGGAUAUCGAGUGGCAUCGUAACACACAAGUUAGGGAUCGAGAAGGGUUUCCCUCCCGUAAGGCAAAAGCGAAGGACGUAUAAGCCAAAAAAGUAUGAAGCAAUGAAAGGCGAAGUGAAAAAAUUGAUGGACAUCAGGUUCAUAAGGGAUGUUAGGUACCCCCGGUGGCUGGCCAAUGUGGUCAUGGUUCCAAAAAAGUCAACGGGACAAUGGAGGAUGUGGGUGGAUUAUUCGAACCUCAACAGGGCAUGCCCAAAGGAUAGCUUCCCGCUCCCGCGCAUAGAUCAGUUAGUGGACUCCACGUCCGGGUUUGAAUUGAUGACUUCAUGGACGCUUACGCGGGUUACAACCAGAUAAAGAUGGAUCCGGGGGACGAGGAGCACACAGCUUUCACAACAGACAGGGGGUUAUAUUGCUACAAGGUCAUGGCCUUUGGAUUGAAAAAUGCAGGAGCAACCUACCAGCGGUUUAUGAAUGUCAUGUUCGCCGAGUACCUUGGGAAAAUAAUGGAGGUAUAUGUCGAUGACAUGCUGGUCAAGAGUCUAAUUGCCGAGGAGCAUGUGGGGCAUCUGAAGAAAGUAUUCGAGGUAAUACUGAGAUACGGGAUGAGGCUGAACCCUCAGAAAUGCAUAUUCAGAGUGACCAAAGGGAAAUUUUUGGGCCACAUAAUCAACAGGAGGGGAAUAGAGGCCAACCCGGAAAAGAUCCAAGCCAUUUUGGAUAUGGAAAGGCCCACGAAAAGAAAUGAAGUGCAGUCGUUGGCCGGGAAGAUUGUCGCCUUCGUCCGGUUAGUAUCGCGACUCACGGAUAAGUGUGCCCCUUUCUUUCGGCUGUUGAAAGACCAGCGGUGUAAGGAGAUAAUAUGGGGGCCCGAGCAGGAAGAAGCUUUCAAGCAGAUAAAGGCAUAUCUCACGUCUGCGACAGUUUUGUCAAAAUCGAUCCCGGGCGAGAUGCUUUACUUGUACAUUGCGGCAUCGCGAACGGCGGUUAGCUCGGUACUGAUAAGAAAAGAGUCCAAUAUCGAGCAUGCGAUGUUUUACGCCGGGAAUGGAUUCACACCCGUAGAGAGUAGAUACCCAGAUGUUGAAAAAUUAGCUUUGACGCUCAUCGUGACCGCCAAAAGGCUCAGACACUACUUCCAGGCACACUCGAUAACCCUUUAUACCAACUAUCCCCUGAGACAGAUCAUGCAAAAACCAGAUAUCAACGGGAGGCUGGUAAAGUGGGCGAUUGACCUAGGAGAGUUUGAUAUCCACUAUCGGCUGAGAAUAGCAAUCAAGGGCCAAACAGCAGCCGACUUUAUAUUCGAACUCAUGCCCAUGAAAAUGAUGGGGGAAUCAUCCGAGCUCACGCCCGUGAAAGUAGUGGGAGAGUCAUCAGAGGUCGGUCGGGAGGAAAGUUAUGCCAGGGCGGCCGCGAAAACACACAGUGAGGACCCACCAGCGCCACUUUGGAAGCUUUUUGUUGACGGCUCGGUGACGAGAAAUAAAAGCGGGACGAGAAUAAUAUUGGAGACUCCCGAUGGAUUCAAGCAUGAGUAUGCCUUGGAGUUUCAAUUUAAGACAUCCAACAAUGCGGCAGAGUACGAAGCUUUGAUUGGCGGAUUGCAGCUCGCCGGAGAUAUAGGAGUGGAGAAUGUGGAAGUGUUCAGUGAUUCACAGCUUGUUGUAAAUCAAGUCAACGGGAGCUUCAUAGCUAAGGAGCCUCAGUUGAACUCUUACCAGGUACUAUCCAAAUUCUUCAUGCAUCGCUUCAAGUCGGCCUCCCUAUCUCACAUCCCGCGGAAGGAAAAUAGUAAUGAAGAUGCUCUUGCUUGGCUGACUACCGGAGGGCCUGGAAAAGGAAGAAAGAAAGCAAGGAUUGAGGUGUUAGGAAGCCCGAGCAUAAGUAAAACCAUCUCGGAGAUCUUUAUGGUCGAAGCGGGGCCCGGAGAGCCUACAUGGAUGAACCCCAUAGUCGAGUUCAUGAAGGAGGGUGUGCGCCCGGAGGACAAGCGGCAAGCACGAAAACUGCAAUCGAGAUGUGCGAAGUACACACGCAUGAACGAGAAGCUAUAUCGUAGAGGUUACAGUUUUCCAAACCUAAAGUGCGUAACGGAAAAGGAAAGCGAGGCGAUCAUGGGGGAAAUACACGAGGGAGUGUGCAGAAAUCAUUCUAGAUCUUGGUCAUUGGCACAUAAGGCGCUUCGAACAGGGUUUUUCUAGCCUAACAUGGGUGCCAUGGCGGAUAAGAUGUUUGGAGGGUGCCAUAAAUGCCGCUUCUACGCUAACGAGACACAUUCCCCUCCUAUUGCUCUAUCAAUCCUACUGUCGCCCUGGCCUUUUGCACAAUGGGGUUUGGACCUCAUCGGGAUACUGCCAACGGCACCAGGAUGUAAUAGUGGUCGUUGACUAUUACACAAAAUGGGUGGAGGCGGAGCCCUUGGGGAAGAUAACCACCGAGUGUGUGAAGAAUUUCCUGAUGAAGAACAUAUAUUGCAGAUUCAGGGUCCCGAAUACAAUCGUCACGGACAAUGGUACACAAUUCAACAAUAACUAUCUGAAUGAGCUCACGAAGGACAUGGGCACCAAGAUGGUCUUCGCGUUGGUGGCACACUCACAGACCAAUGGUCAGAUGGAGGCAGUGAACAAAAUCAUUAAAAAGCUUAUGAAGUAGAAGUUAGACGACGCAAAGGGUCUGUGGGCACAGAAGCUGCCGGAGGUAUUAUGAGCAAUUAGGACCACAGCAACAGAAUCAACCAGAGAAACGUCUUUCAGCAUGGCCUUUGGCACGGAGGCUGUCUUGCCAAUUGAGACGUCAAUACCGUCGGGAAGGGUUGAGAACUUUGAUGCCACCACCAAUAAGGAAGGCCUCCGGUUGAAUAUUGACCUCAUCGAGGGAAGGAGGGAGAGAGCAGACUUGCAUAGCCAAGUCUAUAAGUAGAGAGUUGCACGUCAUUACAAUAGUAAAGUCAGGACCCGGACAUUGAGACUGGGGGACUGGGUAAUGAAGAAAAUCAUGACCAAGAUGAUGGCUUUGGAUCCAACAUGGGAAGGGCCAUACGAGAUAAUUGAAGAGGUCAGCCUAGCAACUUUCUUUCUCCGAGAUCAGAAUGGGAUAGUCACCAUGCACCCUUGGAAUAGCACCUGAAAUUCUACCCAGUGUGAAAGGGGCCGAGACCCAUCCUAUCUUUGUAAAAUGUACAUUUAUAAGUAUUGCUGCCCCCGGGAGAACAACAAGUCCCGGAGGAUGUCUUCAUUCGUUUUGAAAGACUUAAUGCAGGAAUGGGGAAGUUGAAUUCAAAUUCCAAUGAUAGGCAAUCCACCGGGAGGCAUAAGUCAAUAAAAUCCCGAGUAAUAUCGAACAAGAUAGGUAAUCCACCAGGGGGCAUAAGGUAAUAAAAUCCCGAGUAAUAUCAAAGGGGAUAAGUAAUCAACCGAGAGGCAAAACUUAUUGAAAUCCCCAGUAACACUGAGCGAGAUAGGCAUAAUACAAAUUAUAUAUAACACAACAGAUAUAAGCAACAAAGAUGGAUAAGUCAUAAUAUAUCAAAACCCGGAAUGCUGGGAGUAUACCAUCAAUGGGUAUUUACAAAAAUCCCGGGAUGUGUAAUCACCGGGACAAGGCACAAGGCUAAUGUCUUACAAAAGCAAAAGAAAAAGGAAAAUUACAACUUAUGCCUCCUGGCCGUCUUUUUCCUUGUCCUCGGACGACUCAGCCAGGUUGUCAUUUCCAUCAGCGCCCUUGUUAGCAUUAUUCUCGGACGGUUCACCUGCCAAGUCCUUUGCGCUAUCACGCUCUUUCUCGGUAGCUGCCUUGGACUUCGCCUCCCUCUCUCUAGCCUCUCGGGAAGCGAGCAAAUCGGCAGUCAUCUUUGCCUUGUCCAAGUACCCAAGGCGGCUCCAUUCACCAAACUUCUCGGUGAUGCCACCCUCCCGAGCUGCCUUCAGCAUGGCCUUCAGCUAGUCCGACUCCUUGAACUUGGUAAUGGCAAACUCGCCUUGAGCGGGAAUCUGACCCUGUAGAUUAACUAUUUGGUUGUCCCUCUCCUUCAGCUUGGACCGCAGCUUAGCGUUCUCCCGCUGAAGCGCGUCUAUGUCACACUCCAAGGCGACCACCCUUACAGCUUUUCCCUAUAACUCUUUGUUGUGGAGGCUGAGUUUGGCGAACUUGUCGGCCAGCAAGAGUUUCUUCCUCUCGGCUUUCAAGUCCUUCUCCAUCUUCUUCUUCUCGGCCCCGAGAUAGCUGAUCUGGUCGCUCAGGCUGGCCAGGCGCUCUUUCAUCUCAUUGGAGUCCUCGCUGGCAUCGAUGGCAUAGACAGCAAAUAGGGUCUACAAAGAGAAAAUAAAUUAAAUAUAACAUCCCGAACAGUAAAUUGGCAUUUGAAAGAAGAAGCUUACCUUCAUCAUGACCUCCCGGGCGUAUUGCCGGUUCUGUUGAGGGGUAUUAGACCCUACCCUGAUCUGGUCCAGCUCUAUUCCCUUCAGGUCGCCCAUCAUGCUGCAGACGAACCUUUCGUCGGCGCACCCAUACUCAUCCAGUAUCUGCUGGAUGGGGGUCUUCUUGAUCUGGGGAAGAGCAGGAGCGAGAGCGCUCAAGGUCACCGGGUUGUCGGCCGAAGGACCUGUUGCUUUCUGUUUCUUCCGGGGUGGCGAGGCGCCGGACACGCUCAGGACAGUUAAAGUCACUUCCUUAUCCCGCUGCGACUUUGACUUCUUAAACGACGAUUUCUUCUUCUUCUCACCCAAGUUGACAUUGAUUACGUCACCAGUCCUUGUAGGCCGCUCUGUGUCAGAACUCGGCUUCCCGUAUCCUUCAUCGGGAAUCUCUAGGAGCACAAGUGUCUUCGAAACUCGAGCGGUAGAGUCCUCCAGGUUCACUUCAAUAUGGGAAGUGGUCUUUCCAACCUCCAGGAAGGCACCCAGCAGGUCCAAGUCUGAAUCCAUGUCGUGCGGGUAUGAGGGACGGGGUUUACGCUUGGGUACCUUAGAUGCCAGCAAACGCAACAUUCAGUAAAAAGAAAACAGAGAAAAACGCAAGUAUGAAACAACAAUUGAGAGACAUUGUACCGGGAACCCCACCAGGCAUUCGGCCGAGUUCACAGUGAACUAGCACACUGAUCAAGUUGUACGAGAUGCGAUCCUCGUCCGAGGGCCAUGCCGUAAAUAUCCGGGCAAUCUGUUGCUUCUCGAUCCCCGAUAGCGAGAAGGACUGAUCCCGGAUAUACCUAAACCGAUUGGGCACCACGUGCGUUGGGCAGUUUCUUUGCCAUCGACCGUCGGUAAGCAUGACCUUUGAACGCCAGUUGUUAUUGAUGGACGUUGGAAGAUCAGUAACGAGAGACAUGUAAUCCCGAGCGGAAAAUGAAACACACCCGUUGCAGUUCUAUUUCUUCGAGUACGAGAGGCGGUAGAGGGCUCGAAAGUCGUUGAUCGUUAGCCAUCCCAUUUCGGACAAGUAGUACAUGCAGCAAAGGGACAACAACUGACGCCAUUGAUUCGGGGGGAUCUGCCCGGGAGCUAGCUGAAGCAUGCUCAGCAACACGCACUGAGGGAGCGGGAGAGAGAAACCGUCCCUAAACAUAUUGUCGUGCACAACGACGAACCCAUCUCUCGGACAGCACGCGAACUCGUCUUCGUAAAGCCCACGGAGGGUAACCUUUUGCGAGAUGCCCCAAUCUUCCCGAAACCGUUCUAUCUCUGUCGGGGACAUGCUGCUCUCAGGCUCGUCACACACGGUGUCGUCCUCUAAGAUAUAUCGCUUAGCCGAGCUUGCGACGCUGGUCAUCGGGACGCCAUGGUAAACCCCGGCAGACCAAUCGACAUUCCGGGCGGGUACACCUGUGGGUAACUCUACAGGUUCACCCGGGCAGGAUGGUUGACUGAUGUACUCCUCCAUCCUCUCGUCGUCAUCCACUAUUGUAAUAUCUCGUAUACAAUGUAAGUAAUAGUGAUUGAGUGUUCAAUAUGGUAAAUAAAGAAUAGAAAAAAAAAAAAAAAAGGAACAAGAGAUGAACUGACCUGGAGGGUCUAGAAGGGUCGACCAGGAACCAACCUAAGUAAGAAAUAAAAGGAAAGAUGAGUGCUAGAGACUGGGGCAGAAUUCCUGACCCGUUUCAGACGCUCAACAAGCCGCGGCUGCGGGAGAAGAGACGUUCCACGAUCAGGCGUCUCUCAUCUAUGCACCUUCACCAAUUCUUUGUUAGCUCUCAUCUAGUCUAUAUUCAUAGGUUGGGAGGUGAACCUCAGUACUCAAAACCCAGGAAUUUAAGUUUCAUAGAUCUAAUUCGACGAGAGCUGUGAUCAAUUUUUUUUUUCCUGAAAUCGAUCAUUACGACCUCGGACUAGGUCAGGUAAGUAUUGACUGUGGUGGAUAAAAUUGAUUUCAAUUGUUUCUUGAUUUAGUUAUGGGUCAAGGUGUUACAACUAUCGGCCAAGAGGAUGUGCUAGCCCCGCUUAAGUCAAUCGUACUUCGGGAAUCCAUUUACCUUUGUAUAACAAACCCUAAGAUUUAUUAGUAUGCACUGCCGGGAGCAAGCACAAAAUUCACAGUUUAACACAGCCUAAACCCAGAAAGCCCUAGAAUCCCAAAAUCCCUAGUUUUUACCCAACCAUUACAAAAGCAGCACAACCCAGAGAAGCAAAAACAAAGGCCUACACAAAGUGCAGUAGAACAAAGAAAAAGCAGCACAAAAACUUACCAGAUUUUCGACGCAGUAGCAACGCCGGAAACUCAGAGGUCCGGUAACACCUCGCAAUCGUAUGGAUCGGUGGCGGCACAGCGGUAGGACGCGAAGCAGGCAGAGAAAGAAAGCGACCAAAGUGAGAAGCGCACAGAGAAACCAAAGAAAACAAGCAGAGCACAAAAAAAAAAAAACAAUAGUGAAAACAGAGAGUGACCAGAGUGAGAAUGAGUGAAGACGAAAAGGGGGAAGAGUUUAUACCCAGAGACAAUGAGAAGUCGCCUCAAUCCAUGAACCGAAGCAUUAAAAAAACCAGUAAACGAAAACGAGGCACUCCUAGCGAUCCGAUCAAACCGCAAGAUGAGGCCACAUGGCUUAAAUCGCCGUAGCUUCUUGAAGAAGGAAAGAAUGAAGUGACGUGCAUUAAUUGUUUGGCAGUUAUCCCCAGGAAUAUUGCGACAUCUAGCGAACAUGCAUUUAAUGCACCUGUCACAACAAUGCACAAACUUCAAAGUACAAGACCCAUCUCGGGUGAGAGUCACCGAGAUCGUAAGACAAAAUGCAAGACCCAUCUCGGGUGAGAGUCACCGAGAUCGUAAGACCAAGUGCAAAAACAUCCUCCCUUUAAAAACGGAGCACGUGGCUUGAUAAACCACAGACGGCGUUAACACCCUGUCACUCGAGUAGUAAUACCGGAUAUGGAAAGGGCUCGCUACCCUUGUCCAUAGAAAAUGUAACACCCGUUCAACCCACAUCAUGAGUCCGGACUUGGGGGGACAUGGGCGAGACCCAUUUGAAAUAUACUGGUCUACGAGCUUAUUUUAGCAAGUCCCCACUCAAGAUGUGUCUUGAACGGGAAAUUGAGGGGAUUUGUAGUCGAUUGUGCAUGAAACAACCUCUCAAGCCAAUAAACCAACAGGCAUUCCACCACAACCGAGGCCGCCUCGAGGUUCCCGCCCAGAAGUAGGGUGGGCCGGGCCCAUCCUUAGUGGUUACACUGGGCUUGGAAUGACUGCAUAAGGCAUAGGGAAGUCUACACUUGAAACAGCAAACAAGGGUGGAAGUCCCACAUCGGUUUUCAAGUAAAAAGAACCCACUCUGGGCCAUAAAUAUGGCCCAGCCACCAGCUUGUCAGGUAUCAUUAACUAUCUUAGUAAUUACAUUCUACCAGCAGAUACUGACUUAGCCGUCAGAGGAGGAAAUACCGGAAGCCCCCGGUCGUCCUUUUGUUUACAGGUCAGCGGGAAGAUCGUCAGUCACCUACCAGACACUCCAUCAGCUUCUGUAACCCUAUCCGAAAUUGUACAGAAACA